GCCUACGGGAGGCAGCAGUAGGGAAUCUUCCACAAUGGGGGAAACCCUGAUGCAGCGACGCCGCGUGGGCGAGGAAGUACCUCGGUAUGUAAAGCCCUAUCAGCAGGGAAGAAACAGGACAGUACCUGACUAAGAAGCCCCGGCUAACUACGUGCCAGCAGCCGCGGUAAUACGUAGGGGGCAAGCGUUAUCCGGAUUCACUGGGCGUAAAGGGAGCGCAGGCGGCAUGGCAAGUCUGAUGUGAAAACCCGGGGCCCAACCCCGGGAGGGGCUUGGAAACUGCCAGGCGGGAGUGUCGGAGGGGG
rnacentral:rRNA from 1 species